GCCGAAGUUGCCAAGCCUGGUCAAAGGCGACAGACUCAAGAUCUGUUCUCGUAGGAGUUCGCCGGUUCGAAUCCGGUCUUCGGCA
rnacentral:tRNA from 1 species